GUCGUGGAGCGCGUGUGUUCACGUGACGGAUAUACAACUUGUCAUUGGUUUUCCGAAGGGAGCGAGGUUCCAACUGUCCAAUGAACGUUCGCCAUGUUCCGGCAUUUGAGCCAAUCAGCGAUAAGCUUCACUGUACGCGCUCAUUUAACUUCGUUAGUUCAGGAGAAGAUGACUGGGCUACGGCUAAAGCCAGCAGAAGCUACAUCGAACAAACUUCCCUUGUCUGCUUUGUGUUGGUUGGUACAAUGUGCCUUUGUUUGACAGUCUUGUUUUAGGAACAACUGUGUCCUUUUCAGACACUGUAGUUUUGGAUCUAGCUAACGUUAUAGCCGAGCAGCUAGCGUUAGCGCUGAAGCUAACGGCUAACUUAGUUAACGUUAGUCAAUGUUUGCCUGUGUUCCAACCAGCGUCACAGUACAUUUAUAAUUUUGAAGUUAUAAAACGUAUUGGUAUCCAAAGUUUCCUUUCUAGGCUUUCUAUGUUUUGAGUUUUACACGACGGGUUGUGUAGCUGAGAUGAACCACGUUUCGUGGCUAAAGCUAACUAGCUUGCCCUCAAGUGUUUUUGUCGCACGCGGGCAUUGCUGACUGCAUGUUGAUUGAUGAAGAAGGGGUGAGAGUGAUGAGUUGCACUAAUCAGUUGGGGCGUUUGAUGCAGUGGCAUCGAUGCCCCGAUCCGACCCGACCUGAGGACACACUGUGUGCACAGGGGCCAUCUGACUCAACCCUUCCGCUCUUUUCCAAGAAAGGAUAAAAGGAGGCUUGUUUAGGGACAGGGAUCGACUGUUUGCAUGGCUGACCUGCCUGGUUUCUAUGGUUUUGUGUCCUUAGCGGGUGCUGCUGCUGACUGUCCUGAAAUCCAUGCGUUGCAGCAAGAUGGGAGCGGAUGGAUUCGCCUCAGGGUCGAACGUGAAGCAGGAAUUCCGGCCAACUGCCAUGAAAUUCACACCUCUCAGAGAGAUGAGCGGGUGGAGCUGCCUCGCAAUCACAACUUGAAAAGCAAGGUAAAGACGGGAGGAAGUGUCUCCCAGCACAUCCAGGGAGCCAGCGUGGGGGUGAGAGUGAUGAGUUGCACUAAUCAGUUGGGGCGUUUGAUGCAGUGGCAUCGUUGCCCCGAUCCGACCCGACCUGAGGACACACUGUGUGCACAGGGGCCAUCUGACUCAACCCUCCCGCUCUUUAUAGCUGUGUGCAUUAUGAUGUCAUUGUGGGACUAUGUAGCCUAUAAUAGUUUUUGCCCACUGUUGCAUUGGAGGAGAGCAUCAUUACUUCUAUAAUUUGUUAGGAGGGAUUUUAAAAAGACAAGCGAAUCCUGAUUUCUCUUCAAAGACUUGUAGUUUCCAGAAUCUGUACUAAUACUGCCCGUCCUUUUCUUUUUUUAUGUCCACCAACCCGCAGUGGGAGGGUGUCAUGCUGUGGAUUUUCUCGGGCUUCUCCCUCCCAGAGUCCACCAUCAGCGCACUGACCUUGGAGGGCAGCGCCUUCAUUCCUGAAGGUCUGUUUCCUGCUGUGCUGCUAUUCUAACUACAGGAUCAUUAUUUCACCCACACUGUUAUUUGUGUGUCUUAAUGAGUCAUGUUCUCAAUGGAUCAUAAUGUCCUCUGCACAUUUUAUUGUAUUUCUUUGAAGUAAUUUGUUUGCUGUCUAUAUUGCCGUACAAGGACAAUUUUUCAAAAUGGUUGCUACUGACAACGCUUAUUGUCCAGUCCUGGUGCUGCUCAUAUUACACAUUUUGCCUUCCUGGUGUUUCUGACUCUUUCUGGGUUUCCUGCACGUUCCCACUAACAUCCUGCAGUAGUCGUCCCCUCAUAAAGGGCGAAGGAACUCCACCCAAGGAGCUGCUGAGGACAUGCCGACAAUUCGGUCCGCUGUUUUUAUUGAGCGUAAAUCUUUAUACACGUUUGUUCCAUUCACUUUGUCCUUGGGUGCUGAUCCUAAUUUAAAGUCAACCCUUCACUCUUGCAUCUGCUUUAAAUAUUUUCUCAUCAAUUUACUGGCACUUGGAAUCGACACAGCUCUAUUUCCCAGUUAUUCUAAAUCUUUCUGUUCAUUUUUCAAUAACUUUAAAACAAUUCUCUGUAGACAGAAAGGUAGACGUCUGCUCGGAGGAUAAUGUAUGAAGGCGUUUCCACCCGCGUUAAUAACUUAAUACGUUGCUAUUUAUCAUUGAGUAGCUCUGCUGGUCACCGGUGACCCGAUUAAAUCCCACUUGCUAUUUGGACUCUUGAGGUGUUUUGGAAAAUCCAAACCGCCCACUUCAGCGGUUUUCAUUUCAGGGUGUCCUCAUUAUUUCAUUGGUUUUUAGUCUUUUCAUGUCCUGUCUUUUUUUUGUCCCUGCAGGCAGACUAGAAAAACCCUUCCAGAUCCACAGCAGCAGCCCCUGGUACAGCUGCAGGACCCCCACCCGCUGCACAGGUGGCGUGUCCUUGAUGCCCGAGCGGCUGCAGUAUUGACCCGAUACGGGGAGGACGUUCCUGAUGGACGUGUCGGCCCAGAACCGCAUGGUGACCAGUGUGUUCCUUGGAAUAUCUCUCCUGCUGCAUUGUGGGCUUAUUGCUGGUGAGCAACACCAGGGAGGUCUCAUUCAUCCUGAAAUCUAUUUAAACUUUGCUGUCAUCUCCACAAAAGCGGCUUAAACGUGCACAAACCCUGUCGGGGGCCGUGUGUCGGUCUAAUGGGAACUCUCUGUAUCCUAAUGUGGGCAAGUCCUCUCAGUAAUGGCCUUCUCGCCUCUGCUUCCUCCUAAAGAGAGCAGCAUCAUCAUCAUCAGAGGCCACAGCUCAUCUUAAAUAUCUCCACGGUCAUUGAAUAAACCUUUAAAAUCA
ensembl:lncRNA